rnacentral:piRNA from 1 species
UGGUCUCUCUGACGGUCCAAGCAAAGUU